CCUUCCGCGCCCGAGCGCGCGCGGGCCGCGCCCCCGCACCCGAGCGCAGCCCCGGAAAGCGGCCGGAGGGGACCUUUCGGCCGCGGUGUCAGUCCCUCCCGGAGUGGAUGUGACAGCGGCGGCAGCUCCGGCCACAGCUUCUACGCAGUGGGUGAUGCUUCGUCUCGCCCCUGUACCCUCUAGAUGCAUUCCUAAUCACAUCCUCUGAGACCCUGCUGGAGGACCUGCACAGUGGACCAAAAGAGCUGGAAAGAGAAGAGAAAAAGACAAGGAAAGAACAGAGUGAAAAUAAGGAGGAGAUCAAAAGAGAAAAAAAAAAAAAAGAAUGUGAAGAGAGUGAAAGAGGGAGCUAGAACAAAUGACCAAGACUUAUAAGAAAAAGACUGAGGCUUAUGAUGUAGGGAUCACUGAUCAGAGAAAAGGCUUAAAUCACAAGAGACAGGAAGAAGUGCACUUAGCGGGAAGCAGAAAAGCACCAAGAUUAUUUGCCUCAGUUUCUGCUCAAAGAGACUGUUGUAAGUAGCUACCUGUCCCUUGGUGUAGGCAUUUAAUUUUCAAAUUCCCUGUCACUCUCACUGAAGUCAUAACAAAAAGUAAGGAACUAGGUGGAGGGCCAUGAAACUUUUAAUUGAGGUUAAUGUUCAUCUAAUAGAUGUGGUCUCUCCAGAAUUAGAGUAAAGGUGAUGUUGUCAUCCCUGCCUCUCAUGGUAGUGGACAGGAAGACUUCUGGGGGGGGGGGGGGACACUGAUACCAUUACUCUGAGAAAAAUGCUUUUGAUCUUGGUAAGAUUUUCGAAAUCCUAGCUCAUUUCUUGUUUUCUAUUUGAUCUCUGCAGUGGAUAUCAAGCUUGGUGUUUUUCCCUGUGGUUAGCCAAGAUUCUCAUAGAUAUUUUCCUCCCUUUUGAAGACUGGAAAUUAUAAAAAGCUGUCUGCAACAGCUGCUUUGAGGUCAUCUACGUUUGCUGACUGCAGGUGGAAAUCUCUUUCACAGAGCCCUAAAUGGAAGGUGGUAAAAUUUGGCUUUGAGGGAGCUGGACUCUACUAGCCUUUUGUAUAAUUUAUCAUCCACAAAGUGUGUUAAGGUGCUUUUGAUCUUUGGAAACAAUAUCUUUCAAAGUGAAGGUGUUGCUUAUAUGUGACCGUUAGUCCUCUAUAGGUAUCUCAGUAUCAUGCUGAUUUCAAUGAGUGAAUGAAUUUUUAAGAUGGUAUAAUGAUGACUCAAUUUAAUAGAGAGACUCUAGAUCCCGUUGAAAUCCAGUUGGGAGGAUCAAAUGAGAGGAGGUAUGUGAAUAGUGCUUUGAAACCAUAAAGCACUAAGUAACCAUAAGUCAUUUUAUUAUGAUAAUUUCCAUCAUAUUUAUUAAAUUUUUGGUUUCACUGAACAUUAAAAAUUCUUUGCUUUCUGCAAUAUUAAGAAUGGAUUUCUGCCAAAUAGUAACCAUAAGAAG